rnacentral:rRNA from 1 species
CCCUUAGAUGUACUGGGCCGCACGCGCGCUACACUGAUGCAUUCAACGAGUCUAAAACCUGCUCUGAUAGGGGUGGGUAAUCUUUUGAAACUUCGUCGUGCUGGGGAUAGAUCCUUGCAAUUUUUGAUCUUAAACGAGGAAUGCCUAGUAAGCGCAAGUCAUCAACUUGCGUUGAUUACGUCCCUGCCCUUUGUACACACCGCCCGUCGCUACUACCGAUUGAAUGGUUUAGUGAGGCCUUCGGAUCCGCGACUCGUUUGUGGAGAAGUUGGACAAACUCAGUCAUUUAGAGGAAGUAAAAGUCGUAACA